CCCCGCCUAGGCAGCCAGUGGACACCUGCAUCCGCCUGCAAGACUGGAAGCAGGUCAGCGCGUGGACAGUUUCCCAGAAAGCGACAAAGACUGUGAAGUUUGACGGUCUGGAAAACGGAGACCAACCGCGCUGACUACCUGGGAGCACCGAGACUCAGGACAGCGCCACUCGGGGUCCAGGAAGGGAGCCACAAUCUGCUUCAGCACCAGGGCUCCGGACAGCUCCUAGGGGUUCCCGGAGCCGACUUCAUUUCAGAACCAGGACACUGGACAACUUCCCUGGUACCGGGAAGCCCCUGUCCCCUGACGGGGGAACAGAGGGUGGUCUGAAGUGUCUGACGUUUCUGGAGACUUGACCCUCAUUUAAUGGAUCUUUCAAC